rnacentral:rRNA from 1 species
ACGGGAGGCAGCAGUGGGGAAUAUUGGGCAAUGGGCGAAAGCCUGACCCAGCAACGCCGCGUGAAGGAAGAAGGCUUUCGGGUUGUAAACUUCUUUUAUCAGGGACGAAGGAUGUGACGGUACCUGAUGAAUAAGCCACGGCUAACUACGUGCCAGCAGCCGCGGUAAUACGUAGGUGGCGAGCGUUGUCCGGAUUUACUGGGUGUAAAGGGCGCGCAGGCGGGAGAGCAAGUCAGAUGUGAAAUCUAUGGGCUUAACCCAUAAACUGCAUUUGAAACUGUUUUUCUUGAGUGAUGGAGAGGCAAGCGGAAUUCCUAGUGUAGCGGUGAAAUGCGUAGAUAUUAGGAGGAACACCAGUGGCGAAGGCGGCUUGCUGGACAUUAACUGACGCUGAGGCGCGAAAGCGUGGGGAGCAAACAGGAUUAGAUACCCUGGUA